rnacentral:lncRNA from 1 species
AACUAUUUCAAAGAUCUACUCCUAUCUUCUGAAACUUAUUGAACCAAACUUAAGCUGAAUGAUUCUUGUGGUAUCUAGUAUAAAGUUUGUGUUUUAUUUACUGUUCCGUAAAAAAAAACAUGACCGCCAAGGAUAAUUGAAACAUAGAACGAUUGGUAAAAUGCAGUUUCAAUGGUUUUUGGCUCAUAGUCAUACCACAGGAGUUUGAAACCUUAUCAAUAAGGGGGUGAAAAUAUACCAAAGUCGACUUUGGUAUAUUUUGAAGAGAGAAGCUCCUACUGUGAUAGUCGACUUUGGUAUAUUUUUACCCCCUUAUUGACAUGAUUGAUAGGAUUUCAAACUUCUGUGCUCAUACCUCAAAAACUUAUGUAAGCAUUUUAUAUCAUUGAAACUCAGUUACAGAGUAUUUUAUUGUUGUUGUUACUUUUGUUUAUGUCACACAGGGGCGGAUCCAAAACCUUGAUGUCUAGAUAUACCAAAAUUAUAUAUAUUUGUUUACAAAUGUAUAUCUAUGCAGACGUGGGGGGUAAUGGUUGUGGUGUGUGCUUGGUGGAAAAAAGGGGGGUAUUUUAGGAUCAUCGUUUCUAUAUUCUAUAAGAAGUUUUUAAAACAGAUUGUUGAUUUACUUUGGAAAUAAGAAGGGGAAAAACCAAUUCAGCUAAGGCCAAAUAAAAAUAUAUGUGUGGUUCCAGUAACCCGACCGACCCUAGUUAAAAAAAAACGACCCUAGAACUUUUUUUUUUCAUUUCUGAAAAAUAAAUUUUCAAAUGAUAAAAUUUUGAGGAUUGUGAAUUAAAAUAAUUAAAUUCAUAGAUUUCUGUCAUCUGAAUUUCAAUCACAAGUAUCUGUUAUGGCUAAAAUGCUAUUUUUCCCAGUUUUUGAAAAUAUAUUCUUAAGAUCUCCUGAGGUGUAUGAAAUAAUAUAAAUUUUAUAUCACCUUUCCUCACAAGUUUAAAUAUAGAUGCACCCUAAAAUACAUAAAAAAAAAACAAAUGCUAGUGUCAUUUCCAUAUAUUGCAAAAUUUAAGUCUGACCCAUUUUCUUAAAACUUUUGCAGCUUAAAAUACAGAAAAGAAAAAUAUGAAAAAAGAAAGGAAGAGAAAAGGUGAGAAUAAUUUAUAUCUUAGCCAUGAUGACUAGCCUUUUAGAAAAUAUAAAUAUUUAAGUAUUAGGUAACUAACAGUUUUAGUCAAUAUCGUUCAAUUUUGAAUUGUGGAAAAUUGUUAAAAAUGUAUGAUGAAAACAAUAAACCCAACUUUAGUGGGUUACCCAUCCAUGCAUGACUAUUUAAAGGUUCAAGAAGGUUUCAAGUAACUUUCACUGAUAUUUCAGUAUGAACUACUGUGGAUUCAUUAUUAUUCGUUAGAUACCAAUUUUUGUGGGUUUCAUGGGUAUAGGUGAACCGCAAAUUCAAAUGUUCAGCAGUUUACAAGUUUUCUAUAGGCUUUGUACACAAAAAUAUCAGCAAAACCGUGAAAUCAAAUAUCCACGAAAUUGCAAGUUUUCCUCAAUCCACUUAAAUUGAUACCCACAAAAAUAAUCGAAACAACAGUAACUAAACCUCCUUAGCAUGCAUGGCUAACACUCCUUUUAAUAUUGGGUUAGUUUUUUUAUCAUACAUUUCUUAUCAUUUUUCAAGAAUUCUAAAUUUUCUAGUUUACAUAAAUCAUUGUUUUUAGUCCAUUUCUCAGAUACUAUUAAUAAGCAAUAUGCAUCUGUCAACUAAAUUUGGGGUACGGAUUGAAUUUAAAGUACAGUCAUAUCUGUCUGGCAAGGUUUAUCUGACCAUGCCCUCAUUUACAUGGAUCAUAUGUGAUACUUGUAGUAAAACCCUUAUCAAUGCAAAUUCAGUCAUGAUGGUAAAGCAGGUAGGUAAUUCCAGCUUUUGCACUUUUGUUAUAUACAUGUAACAAUAUAACUUUCUAAAAUAUUAAUAUUACUAAGAGUAAUAAAAAAACAUGCCAGGAGGUCACUUUAAGCUCUAUGUGUUUAUCAGUUAUUUAAUUCAGGUAGUUUCAGAGACAACAUCUAGUAGAUAUUAUCUACAUGCAUGAAUGGUAAUUACUAAAACAAAUUUCUGUUAAUGUUAAUAAAAGAAAGCAUUAAUAUACUAUAAAUUAAGAACAUAAUCUAUAACAUCUAAUAUUCAUUAUCAUGGCAUGGCUGUAUAUACAUGUAUGUUAAAAAAAAAAAAAUUAAGGUGCAACUGGUACAUACUUUGAACUAUAAUAAGAAUAUUGUAAUUUGAUGGUCAUGUAGUAGCUAACUUUGCUGUACAUUUUGUACUGAAUAUUUUUCAAUCUAUUUUUUCAAGCUCAUGAGCGAGUGUGGAGAUUUAAUUUUAAUUAGAUUGAAUAUUUUUUGUAAAGUUGAUUUUGUUUGCAAUGAUUGUCAACAUGCUGAACAAACUUAAGUUUCUAUGCAGAUGCAAUGUUUUAUGUCAUGCACUUCCUUAGUGUUACCAUUUUUCAUGAACAUCACAGCUUGGAAAAAAAAACAUUUUGAUUUUUUUAUAAUUUAGUUCAAAUAAAGACUGUUAAAGAUACAGACAAAACAAAGUCGGACAAAGAAGAAAACGAUUCUUCAGCAUCUUGCAGGUAU